UUUUUCAUUGCUUGUUUAUCUGACGAUAUAAUUCAGAGUGUAGACUCCGGCGAGCCCGCGUCGGAAUUCUUCCAACGGCUGUUUCCAACGUCUCGCCGAAGCAACGUCGAGUUGUCAAGGGUGGGAGUUCCUUUCGGAGUCUCGGUAAUGAUCCUUCCGCAGGUUCACCUACGGAAA
rnacentral:misc_RNA from 1 species